CAGAUGCUGCCGGAGAGUCAGCCGAUGACACUGAAGUCACUUACACCGACCUCAUUCUGCAUCGUGUACCUGAAGGGUCUUCAACAUUGACCAGCGAGCCUGACGUCAUCUAUGCCGCUGUGAAAUGCGGAAAAGCGCCAUAUUAAAGAAGAUCUCCGCUGACCUCUGUCUAUAAUGACCGUGGGGGCACCCAAUGAAAAGGAGGGGCCAGGAGCACUGCUAAGGGACCCCAGAAAAGGAAGUUUGGGGCCACUCUGUGCAAAACCCUUGCACAUGUUUGUUAUUUAAAAAAAAAAAAACCUUUACAAUCACUUUAAGCCUGUGUUUGGAUUUUUGAGGAUGAAUAACUUCAUAGUACAUGCAGCUACAUGGGUCAGGAAUGGCUAGAGCCAAGGCUCUUUUAUUGCUUGUUAAAGAGUGGGACUUCAUACUUUUUCUUCACUUGCCAUCAUUUUCCUUUUCCCA